UCCUCUUUUCACAACUUUCAUUCCCUAAUCUCCACAGUUUCGGUUUGUCGCUCGAGCAGCCUCUCUAUCUGAGAGAGCCGAGCUUUGUCUUCCUCCAUUCUCAGAAUUCAAAAACUGAUAUUAUUCUGCUUCAUCCGUGCUGAUUGCGGAAUCCAAAGGCAUUAUUUAUGAAAAGCACCUCUUGUUCUGCAAAACCUUGUUGCAACUUCAGCUAGCUUGGCCUUGUAUGGGAGAGAUUUGUAGGACCUAGCAAUUGUAGUUUUGAAUGAAGGCUUUUCCUAUGGAGGAUGGAAGUGUCUACCAUGAGAGACAGAGAUUGCAGUUCUGUCUGUUGCAUGCGCUCAAUAAUCUU